GACGAACGCUGGCGGCGUGCUUAACACAUGCAAGUCGAGCGAUGAACCUUUCAUGAAUUUUUCGGAAUGAUUGGAAGAGGAUUAGCGGCGGACGGGUGAGUAACGCGUGAGCAACCUACCUUAAACAACGGGAUAGCCUCGGGAAACCGGGAUUAAUAUCGUAUGAGACCCCGCCUUCACAUGAAGAAGAGGUUAAAGAUUUAUCGGUUUAAGAUGGGCUCGCGUCUGAUUAGCUAGUUGGUGAGAUAAAAGCCCACCAAGGCAACGAUCAGUAACCGGCUUGAGAGAGUGAACGGGCACAUUGGAACUGAGACACGGUCCAAACUCCUACGGGAGGCAGCAGUGGGGAAUAUUGCACAAUGGGGGAAACCCUGAUGCAGCGACGCCGCGUGAGCGAUGAAGGAAUUCGUUUCGUAAAGCUCUGUCCAAGGGGAAGAUAAUGACAGUACCCUUGGAGGAAGCCCCGGCUAAAUACGUGCCAGCAGCCGCCGUAA
rnacentral:rRNA from 1 species